AGGUGGGACAGGUACCCCUUGUGGGUGGGCUAGUCUCUUUGAGGAGGGGCUGCUGUCCAGCUCUGCUUGAGUCUUCCUCUUGUAGUUUUGGUUUUAUUAGAGCAAGAGUUUGAACACACCUGCAAAAGAAACUGAGUAUAAAAUGUCGCCAGAGAGGGGCCAGCAAGAUGGCUCACUGGGUAAUGGUACUUGCCAUGCUACCACAAGUUUUCCACUACCCCUCCCACAGAGGGGUACAUAUAGAGGUCAUGGUAUACACACACACAAGCACAAAAUUUAAAGCUACCAGUUUUACGAGAUGUACCAAAGUUUAGUUGUUUCUACCUGUUUCGAUGGGAAACAAUGGGAAUAUGGAGUGACACUAAAGCGGUCACACAGGUAUUAAUAGAGACAACAGCUGUCUGCUCUAAGCUACGGGCCUGAGAGCUCAGACCACCAGCUGUACAACCAUACGUUGCUUAACUUCUCUGUUCUCUACCUGUAAAACUGGAGUUGGUUAUCAUCACUGCCUCAUCUGUUCGUAUGAUGUCACACUCAAUGUUGUGAUCAGAGAGACAAGCACAGCUGCUAUAACCCAGUCUGGGAGCAAACACUGAGAGAGGCCAGUCCAGCCUGCUGGCUCUCUCAGUGAGAACCUGAGUUACCUGAUGGGCACAGGUAUGCCAGGGUGUGCCAGGCACACACAAGGAAAGGGCAAGAGGCAGGUGACCUGUAGGUCACUUCAGUCCCUGACAGGGAGCAGCUCUUCCUGAACUUACUUGUCACCCGCCAGCCACUCCAGGUUGUACCUCAGAGGAUUAAAAUAACAGACAGACACCCUGCAUCCCAGAAACUGAUACUAAGUGAGCCGUGUGGAUUAGAACCCUUCGGAGGAAAAGGCCCGCUGCUCUGAUCUUACAACGGGGCCUAACCCUGGCCAUGGCAGCAGGACCACGAACCUAAGCUCUGAAAGGAGUCAACAGUGGCGGUCAAGCUCCAAGCAAGGACUGUGUGGUCAGCCCUCCAGCUUCUCUCUCUAAUCACAGAAAUAGCUAAGGUCAUGCCUGAGGCAGGUACUGAGGGGAGGCUCCAUGUGAUAAACCUGCAGUUAAUCAUUUACCCAAACCACAGGAAGGAAGGAAGGAAGGAAGGAGGGAGGGAGGGAGGGAGGGAGGGAAGGAAGGAGGGAGGGAAGGAAGGAAGGAAGGAAAGAAGGAAGGAAGGGAGGCUCCCAGUGAGCUCUCUAUGACCCAGCUCACAUCAGCGAGGCUGACAGGUGGCCCGGGACACGGACCCAAUCUUUUUCCUCACCCUAACUCAGUCUGACCUCUCUCAAGGACUUAAAACUCAACUCCUACAAUGCCAUCACAGAAGGGCAGAACACUGAUGGAGGAAAUGAGGGAGGGAGUGGCAUUGCCUGGCAACCAGUCUAGCCCACCCUUGUUUGCUCUGGUGGCGGCAGCAAAGGUGUGGUCAGAGAAUUUGGCAACACCCUGGGCUGCCAACAGUAAUUUCUUUGAGUUGUGGCACAGCUGUGGUCACCUAGCAGUCUCUUCCUUGUGGCCGGAAGGACAAUCCUGACUUGCCUUGCCUCAGAAGACUCAAGACUGUUAGCAGCAGGACCAGGUCGGUGCACCACUUUUGUGCCCACAGAGGCCAGAAGAGGACAUCAGUUCCUCUUGCAGUGGAGUUACAGACAGCUGGGAGCUGCCAGGCGGUGCCAGGACUCAAACCUGGUUCUCUGUAAGAGCAGCCACUCUCCUAAGACUGAGAGAUCUCUCCGGCCCCAGGUGUGUUGCUUUUGUUUGUUUGUUUGUUUUGUUUUUGAGACAGGGUUUCUCUGUGUAGCCCUGGCUGGCCUGGAACUCUGUAGACCAGGCUGUCUCAAACUCACAGUGAUCCACCUGCCUGUCUCCUGAGUGCUGGCAUUAAAGGGGUACGGUACCGCCUCUCAGCUUGCUGACUUUUUUUUUAGAAUGUUAACAGGGCUCAAGAACAGUGGCAUGGGCUUGCCUAGCAUGUGAGGACGCAGCAUUGAUUAUGUGUUCAUGUGCAGUGCUAGGUUUCAAGCGUGGCCUUGUCCGUGCAUAUUAGGCAAGAGUUCUACUACAGAGUUGUGCCUCUGGCCCCAAACUGCAAUGUCUUGUGCUAACAGUCUUUUCCUUAUGGCUAUGUCAACACAGUUCCAAACCUGAACCACAUGGUUACAGUCUUACGCUCACCAGAACACACUUCCUUUUUGGUACAGCAUUGUUUCCUCUGAAAAACAGUUGCUUCUCCUGCCCUGACUUCUUAGAGCUCAGUGGAAAAUAACCAAUAGUGCAUUUCAGCAAGACCUCAAGAUGUCCGUCAGGUCAAUUUGAUUUUUGAAAACCAGCCUGAGCCUCUAGCCCCUCCCCCACACCCCAACCAAGCAGCAUCUAGGAUUUUGCUCCAGGCCACUGUCCAUUUACCUUUCUGGCCUCUCCUCACAUCCGCAUGGCAAGUGUGCUACCCUUAGAGCCCCGUCCCCAGCACAGACUGCUGCUUCUAGUUUGACUGUGUCUGAGUGCUCUGUGUGCAUCUCUCUGCACCAGAAAAGGGCACCAGAUCCCCUGAAAGCGGAGUCACAGAUGCUUGUGAGUUGCCUUGUGGAUACUGGGUACUGAGCCUGGGUCUUCUGCAAGAGCUGCCAGUGCUGUUAACUCCUGAGGUAUCUCUGCAGCUCCCCGGGUGUGUGUGUGUGUGUGUGUGUGUGUGUGUGUGUGUGGUUUUGAGUAUAUGUGUGAUUGUGUGUUUGUGGUGUGUUUUGUGUAUGUAUGUGUUUGUAUGUGUACCUUUUAAAGAUUCACUUGUUUAUGAGUGUUGCUUUUUUUUAAUGUGGAUGUUUUGCUAGCAUUUGUGUACGAUGUCCAUGCAGUGCCCCAGGAGACCAGUAGAGGGCGCUGAAUCCCUCCAGACUGAAGUCCCUGAGCCAUUUCUGAAGCUCCUCAGCCUAGGCCUUGUUUUGUUGUUGUUGCUGUUUGUUCCGGUUUUUUUGUUGUUGUUGUUGUUGUUGUUUUGUUUUUUAAAGAUUUAUUUAUUUCAUGUAUGUGAGUCCACUGUAGCUGUCUUCAGACACCAGAAGAGAGCACCAGAUCUCAUUUUUUUUUCUUUUUUUUUCAGAGCUGGGGACCGAACCCAGGACCUCAAGCGCUCUGGCACCAGAUCUCAUUACAGAUGGUUGUGAGCCACCAUGUAGAUGCUGGGAUUUGAACUCAAGACCUCUGGAAGAACAGUCAGUGCUCUUAACUGCUGAGCCACCUCUCCAGCCUACCCCUGAACCCCACUUUGUUUUUUAAUGAAGUCUUGAAAAUUGGGGUUUUCCAAGCAGACAUUUGCCUUUUCUUUCUUGGUUUAUUUUGUUUUGUUUUGUUUUUUUGAGAUACAGUAUGAUUUGACCUUCGAGGCUGGCCUUGAACCCACUAUUUAUCAAGGCUGGUGCACAAUGAAAGGAAAAUUAUAUGAAUUUAAGGUUUAAAAAUAUAAAAUUAAAAGAGUAAGCCCCAAAAGCCACAGACUCAGGGCUAAGCCCUGCCGCCAGGAAUAGCAGGCCAUAAAGAUAAAGAAAAGGAAUGCAAAAACCAGCUCAGGCUAUCGAGGACUGACCCAUAAACCAUCCAAAGACAUCCCCCCAGC